GAUGAACGCUGGCGGCGUGCCUAAUACAUGCAAGUCGAGCGAACAGACGAGGAGCUUGCUCCUCUGACGUUAGCGGCGGACGGGUGAGUAACACGUGGAUAACCUACCUAUAAGACUGGGAUAACUUCGGGAAACCGGAGCUAAUACCGGAUAAUAUAUUGAACCGCAUGGUUCAAUAGUGAAAGACGGUUUUGCUGUCACUUAUAGAUGGAUCCGCCCCGCAUUAGCUAGUUGGUAAGGUAACGGCUUACCAAGGCAACGAUGCGUAGCCGACCUGAGAGGGUGAUCGGCCACACUGGAACUGAGACACGGUCCAGACUCCUACGGGAGGCAGCAGUAGGGAAUCUUCCGCAAUGGGCGAAAGCCUGACGGAGCAACGCCGCGUGAGUGAUGAAGGUCUUCGGAUCGUAAAACUCUGUUAUUAGGGAAGAACAAAUGUGUAAGUAACUAUGCACGUCUUGACGGUACCUAAUCAGAAAGCCACGGCUAACUACGUG
rnacentral:rRNA from 1 species